rnacentral:lncRNA from 1 species
CAGCCAAUCCUCAGAAAGGACUAACAGCACUCUCAGCAGAGGGAGACUGAGUCCUUCAUUCCUGGGAGGUGUCUGGGAAGCACAUCGCAGUGUGCACCGCAGCAGCAACACAAAAUGGACUAAGACACCCAGCAAGCCCCAGGAGCAUCAAGGAAGCAGGCAUGAGGUACCUGCUGGGCCCACCGUGCUCACUGCUUUCUCACUGCGUCUGGAGGUCCUGAGUUCACAACAAUGAGAAGUUUUGAGCUGGAUAAAACUGUUCAUUUAUGGAGCAUAUUGGAAAAGGAGGGAUCACACAUGUCUCAGAAACAAUGGGAUGCAUUUCCUGUUUGGUAGAGGGAGGCUUCUAAAAGGUUGAUUGGUUACAAAAUUGCCUCUCUAAAAGACUCCUUUCUAAAGGCAAAUAAGGAAACUGAAAAGCUUAAGAGAUGAAUUAAA